GGUGAGUAACGCGUGGGAACAUACCCUUUCCUGCGGAAUAGCUCCGGGAAACUGGAAUUAAUACCGCAUACGCCCUACGGGGGAAAGAUUUAUCGGGGAAGGAUUGGCCCGCGUUGGAUUAGCUAGUUGGUGGGGUAAAGGCCUACCAAGGCGACGAUCCAUAGCUGGUCUGAGAGGAUGAUCAGCCACAUUGGGACUGAGACACGGCCCAAACUCCUACGGGAGGCAGCAGUGGGGAAUAUUGGACAAUGGGCGCAAGCCUGAUCCAGCCAUGCCGCGUGAGUGAUGAAGGCCUUAGGGUUGUAAAGCUCUUUCACCGAUGAAGAUAAUGACGGUAGUCGGAGAAGAAGCCCCGGCUAACUUCGUGCCAGCAGCCGCGGUAAUACGAAGGGGGCUAGCGUUGUUCGGAAUUACUGGGCGUAAAGCGCACGUAGGCGGAUAUUUAAGUCAGGGGUGAAAUCCCGCAGCUCAACUGCGGAACUGCCUUUGAUACUGGGUAUCUUGAGUAUGGAAGAGG
rnacentral:rRNA from 1 species